rnacentral:rRNA from 1 species
CAGCCGUAAACAAUGUGCGUUAGGUGUGUCGGUAACCACGUGUUACUGAUGCGCCGAAGAGAAAUCGUGAAACGUGCCGCCUGGGAAGUACGGUCGCAAGGCUGAAACCUAAAGGAAUUGGCGGGGGAGCACCACAACAGGUGGAGCCUGCGGUUUAAUUGGACUCAACGCCGGGAAGCUCACCGGAUAGGACAGCAGAAUGAUUGCCGGGCUGAAGACCCUGCAUGACUAGCUGAGAGGUGGUGCAUGGCGUCAGUGACU